GUAAGGACAUGUGGAGCGCUUAGAAGUGAGAAUGCCGGUGUGAGUAGCGAAAGACGGGUGAGAAUCCCGUCCACCGAUUGACUAAGGUUUCCAGAGGAAGGCUCGUCCGCCCUGGGUUAGUCGGGUCCUAAGCUGAGGCCGACAGGCGUAGGCGAUGGAUAACAGGUUGAUAUUCCUGUACCACCUAUAAUCGUUUUAAUCGAUGGGGGGACGCAGUAGGAUAGGCGAAGCGUGCGAU
rnacentral:rRNA from 1 species